AACGAACGCUGGCGGCGUGCUUAACACAUGCAAGUCGAGCGAGAAAGGGGGGCGAACCCCUCGAGUAGAGCGGCGCACGGGUGAGUAACGCGUGGGUAACCUACCCCACGGCGGGGGAGUAACUACUCGAAAGGGUAGGCUAAUACCGCAUGAGACCACGGGAUCUUCGGAUCUUGAGGCUAAAGAUAGCACCGGCUUGCCGGUGCCGUCACCAGGGGAUGGGCCCGCGUCCGAUUAGCUAGUUGGCGAGGUAAUGGCUCACCAAGGCUACGAUCGGUAGCUGGUCUGAGAGGAUGAUCAGCCACACUGGAACUGAAACACGGUCCAGACUCCUACGGGAGGCAG
rnacentral:rRNA from 1 species